GCAAACUUGGUCAUUUAGAGGAAGUAAAAGUCGUAACAAGGUAACCGUAGGUGAACCUGCGGUUGGAUCAUUAUCAAUUCAUUGACUGACCAGUCUAUUGUGAACCGCAUUGGUGCAGCAGUAGAUUGGAAGGUUUCUCCCCUGCGUGAACUAUUUUUCGUAUUUGGCAGUGCAUGGCAAUACCUAUGCUUUUGCCUUGGUCUUUUGUUGGGACAGCUAAUCCAAAGCUCGCUUUGAUUGGUGAUGCCUAGCAAAACUGUGCAUUGCCGCCAUUUAAACUCUUAUGAAUGUAUAAAUCUAUUCAAGUCUCCUAAUGCAGGCUCGUAACGGACCUGUUAAAAAAAUCGAAAACAACUUUUGACAAUGGAUCUCUUGGCUCUCGCAUCGAUGAAGAACGCAGC
rnacentral:misc_RNA from 1 species